rnacentral:rRNA from 1 species
GACGGAGGAUGCAAGUGUUAUCCGGAAUCACUGGGCGUAAAGCGUCUGUAGGUGGUUUAAUAAGUCAGCUGUUAAAUCUUGAGGCCUCAACCUCAAAAUCGCAGUCGAAACUAUUAGGCUAGAGUAUAGGUAGGGGUAAAGGGAAUUUCCAGUGGAGCGGUGAAAUGCGUAGAGAUUGGAAAGAACACCGAUGGCGAAGGCACUUUACUGGGCUAUUACUAACACUCAGAGACGAAAGCUAAGGGUGAGCAAAUGGG